GCCGGGCGCGGUAAGGCGCGGAACGUAGGGCCGUACUUAAAAUCCUCGGCCCGCAAGGGCGUGUGGGUUCGACUCCCACCCUCGGCA
rnacentral:tRNA from 1 species